AUUGAACGCUGGCGGCAGGCUUAACACAUGCAAGUCGAACGAUGAUUAUCUAGCUUGCUCGAUAUGAUUAGUGGCGGACGGGUGAGUAACAUUUAGGAAUCUGCCUAGUAGUGGGGGAUAGCCCGGGGAAACUCGAAUUAAUACCGCAUACGACCUACGGGUGAAAGGGGGCGCAAGCUCUUGCUAUUAGAUGAGCCUAAAUCAGAUUAGCUAGUUGGUGGGGUAAAGGCCCACCAAGGCGACGAUCUGUAACUGGUCUGAGAGGAUGAUCAGUCACACCGGAACUGAGACACGGUCCGGACUCCUACGGGAGGCAGCAGUGGGGAAUAUUGGACAAUGGGGGCAACCCUGAUCCAGCCAUGCCGCGUGUGUGAAGAAGGCCUUUUGGUUGUAAAGCACUUUAAGCAGGGAGGAGAGGCUAAUGGUUAAUACCCAUUAGAUUAGACGUUACCUGCAGAAUAAGCACCGGCUAACUCUGUG
rnacentral:rRNA from 1 species